rnacentral:rRNA from 1 species
UACGGAGGAUCCAAGCGUUAUCCGGAUUCAUUGGGUUUAAAGGGUGCGUAGGCGGAAUAGUAAGUCAGUGGUGAAAUCCUGUCGCUUAACGACAGAACUGCCAUUGAUACUGCUAAUCUUGAGUACAUUUGAAGUGGGCGGAAUGUGUAGUGUAGUGGUGAAAAUACUUAGAUAUUACACAGAACACCGAUUGCGAAGGCAGCUCACUAAACUGUAACUGACGCUGAGGCACGAAAGCGUGGGGAGUCAAA